ensembl:lncRNA
GCCUCGCUCAGUGGGUUAAGGAUCUGGCAUUGCUGUGAGCUGUGGUGUAGGUUGCAGACGCAGCUCGGAUCCCGUGUUGCUGUGAGCAGUGGUGUAGGCCAGCAGCUGUAGCUCCAAUUCGACCCCUAGCCUGGGAACCUCCAUGUGCCACUGGUGGGGCCCUAAAAGGCAAAAAAAAAAAAAAGAAAAGAAAUAUCAGUUCUUACGCUCCUGAGACUGAGAUGCUAAGAUGUUAGGAUUCUAAGACUCUCGGGGACAUUGAUUCCAAGAUGCUCAAAUUCUUGUCAUUUCUUUCCAGCCAGGAAGCAGAGGACAAAGCUCUGGACAGGAGGGCUGCUGGGGUCCUGGCUACAUCUGUGGGGUCGGCGGCCAGCAGCCUGGGCCGGUGGAGGUGGGUGGAGGGUGAGGCCGGGCCGGUGGGGGGAGCCAAGUGCCCCCAACCGUGCUCCCUCUCCAGCUCCCCCUCCCAUUUAGUUACCUUCAGCCCCAGCCUGGGAGCCGAGCAGAAUCGAAGCCCUGGACCCGCCGGAACUGGCCUUUGCAGUGGGUCUCUCUUCCCUCUGCUUCCUCUUCCGGGCUUAGAGCCCCUGCAGCAGGGCGUGUGGGGUCCGUGUGCCUGGUGGGCUUUGUGCUCUGCAGAGAAGUGUCAACAUCUCAGCCCUGACUCGGGCUCACAACUGGGUGGGAUCUAACACAAGUCCUUGCACCUCAGCCCCGAGCCUCAGUUGCCUUCUCUGCAAGGCGAGGCUGCUAAGGCGCUCCCCUGAGGCCGAGGAGAAUGCGUGUGGAGCCCUCAGCCCGUGGCCCCGGGUCUGGAAGCUCUCACAAUUGUGGAUGCUGUUGAGGCUGCCAGUCCGGAAGGUAGAAUCUUGUGGUUUCAAGAUGCGGGAGUCUGAGUGUUUUCCAGAAGCCAUACCUCUGAGCCUGAUUUUGUUUGUGCCUUUGAGAUGAUUGCUUCUUGGUGCUGAGAUUCCGGGACUGGGGAGAGGCGGGCCCGCGAUAGAGGGGCCAGGCUGAGGGAGCAAGCACCAGGUUGGUGUCUGUUUCCUGUUUAUUGGUUCCCAGGGGGUGAGCAGGCCCUGCUCCCGAGCAGCAGCGAGCAGGAGGGAGGGAGGCCUGGGGUCCUGGCUGCCGGCCAGCCCCAGAGCCUGGCCUCCGGGGACGGCUGAGACCCCUCCCCCAAACCUCCUUGGACAAACAUCCAGUCCUUUCCCAGGACAGGGGAUUGGAGGUCAAGAAGCAGCUGUGAAGGGAAGGGGCAGAAGGGCGGAAAGGGACCCCCUCCCCCCUAAAAUCCUCCUGGUUCCGACUUUCUCGGCUGCCUGUGCCACUGGCGUCUUGCUCCUGGGUCCUCUCGGUCCGCCUCUGCCUCUCCCUGUGCCCCUGGGGUGGGGCCUGGUGGUGAGACAUCCAGGGGGCAGCAGCAGGAAGAGGGGGGGGGCAGGGCCUUGAAGCCAGGAUAGUCCACCCAGAAGGACCCUUAGAAACCAGCGUGUCUUCUAACCACCCUCACCCCUGCGUUAUUCCGAGGGGAAACCGAGGCCCGGCCGGGGAAGGGCGUCUCGCCCAAGGCAGGUAGAGGACCGGGCCCCGCAAGCUGCCCGUGCACCUCACUGCUCGGGAAGAGGCGCUGGGAGUUCACGGGAGAGGAGGGCCGUGUGGCAUCUUAGAAACUUUGGCUGAGCCGAGCGGGAAGGAGAUGCCUCCGUGUACGUCUGGGGCCAAGAGGGCCGGGAGGGGGUCUCUGUUGGAACCGGGUGCAGGGGAGGCUGCGCGUGCAGAAGCCAGUUCAACGCCUGGAGUCCGAGUCGAAUGGCCAGGGCUUUGUCCUCUGGGCACUGGGGAGCCGUGGAAGCCGAGAGCUGAGGGGAGCACCUGGGCACAUGAGGAAGCCCCUCUGGUUGUAGGGGGAUGGUUGCAGUGGAGGAGCAGGGAGAAAAGAAGCCUGAGCUUAGGGGGGUGGGGGAUGGAGGGGUGGAGGGAAAAGAACCUACUAGGGAGAUAAUUCGGAGGUGAAAUUUAAAGCUGGGCUCAGAGGCCCUACGUGGCCCUGGGCUAGGGGAGCAGGGCCUGCCUCCUUCACUGGAGUUAGAGAAUGAGGCCAGGACCAGUGGAGGCAGCGUCAUCGGAGUUAUCCCCCUGCCUCCAGGCAGAGCUUUCCCUGCCUUUCUGGAAGGGUGAGGGGCUCUGAGCCAGCUCUGUGCCCCGCGUGCUCUUUACCUAAUGAGGUUCCUCCUGCUCCAGCAGCGCCCUGCUUCUCAGUGGGGUCGCCGGAGACCAGCAGAGCUCCAGGCUACCCCGCAGCCCAGCCCUCGUGGGAGCAGCCUGGCUGGGGAGCAGGUGGUAGAGAGCAGGAGCAGGCCUGCGCUGCCUGGCUGGCCAGGACCCGGGACACAGCACUCGGCCUCAGUCUCCCCAGCUGUGAAGCGUGUGCCCCAGAUGUGGCAGAGCCUGGGAGAGCUCUGGACCCUGCGGACUCCAGGGAGGGGUGACUGGUGGUGGACAAGCCUGCAGCCUCGCUAGCAUUGCUCACAGGGGGACCUGCAGACGAGACAGAGUAUCCUCAGGCUCUCAGUAGCAAAGAUCCCAACAUGAGUGCUGUUCUCUGGCCCUGCAGUCCUGGAGGCCUUCCUGGAGGAGAGUCGGGCUGAGGCCAUAGGGGGAGGAGUGCUUCAGAUUUGGGGCCUGCUCCAGAGCCUCAGUUUCCUCCCCAGAGGCUUCAGUACCCUUCCAGCUCCUCGAGGCUUCUGGGGCCUCCUCUUCCCUCCUGCCUGGACCCGGGCUUCCAGGCUUCUCCCCAGGCUAGCGGGGGCGUUGCCUGGGGCGGGUGAGGAAUUUCCGAGGGAACAGCUAAAUUCGGCCCCAGCUAAAAAUAGUCCUGGGCCUGGCCCCAAGGCUGGAGGAGGUGGAGGAGGAGGGCAGGACAAGCUGCUCCUGCCGCCUGCCCCCCGCCUUCACCUGGACCCCAGGCCUGGGCUGGGGCCGGCCUCCUCCCUUCCUCCUCGGCCGUCACUGGGCCCUGCUUUCCUCCCUUCUCCCGCCUCCGUCAUCCGUCCUUGGUCUUGCUCCUUCUGUCUCUUGUCUCUUCUGACCUACACAGAGAUCCCUGGCCGGUCAGGAUCAGGCCUCGGGAAGAGGGUUGGGUAGAGGGUGGUGUUCCCUGGCAUCCUAGCCCGAGCGUCAGGAACCCCGCCGCCGCCGCCCUGCCGCCCCCACUCAGCACUCAGCUAUUGCAGCCCUGUUGCCCUUGGGCUGGGGGGCAGACCUCCAGAAAUCUGGGGUGUGGAGAUGUGGGUGGGGCCCCCAGUUUACCCUGUGAUCCAGUGCUUGGUUCUGGCCAGGUGGCCCCACCUGUGCCAGGCCUCCCUGUUCCUGGCACGCAGCAGGGCAUCAAAACACAUUUUUAAAAUACAUACUGCGGAGGGGGUGGGGAAGGCAGGAGGAGGCCAGCGGCCCUGUUCCCGAGGAGUUCCCGGGCAGCGCUGCCCUGGGCAUCACAGGCCCGAGCCGCCAGGCAGAUGGGCAGAGGGUACUGUCCAGGCCAGUACCACUCGGGGUUGGGGGUGGGAGCCAGACCCCGAGGCCCAGAUCGCAGGGUGCUGGACCGAGCGGGCCCCUCCCCGGGUUGCAGGAGAGCACCCUGUCUACUGCAGAGAGUUCGGGAAGGGCUGAGGAAGGUCUGAGGAGGUCGGGGCACAGCGCAUGGCCUCCUCCCCCGUGCCUGGCGCUGGUCUCAACCCCUCUGGCGAAUUCACUCAUUUAACGCUGAGCACCGAGGCAGCGCCUGGUCAGGAGUCUGGGGUUGGGAAAACCAGCCGGGAGUUGGAAUUCAAGCCCAGACAGUCUGGUUCCAGAAUCCAUGAGUGCUCCUCGGGCUCCUGGCUUUCAGGACGGCCGGGUUGGGGUGGUGCUGUCACCAGGGUGGGCACUAGGAAGAGUGACUUCGCUUCGGACGUGGGGGGCCCGCUGGGGCCCCGUGCUUGUUCUGGGGUCUAGCACACAGUAGCUGCUCGGUAAGUAUUAGCUGAAUGGCUCGCAGGAGUGUGUGUGUGUGUGUGUAUGUGAGAGAGAGAGAAUGUGUGUGUGAGUGCGAGCGAGUGGGAGUGUGGGAGUGUGUCCCUGCUGUGGGCCCAGGGACCUUUCCCUCGGGGCCGAAGAGCUGCUGGGGUGGGUACUGGGCUCCCAGCGGUGGAGACGGCUCCGGCCCCGGAAGCUGGAAGGGGGCUGAGCUGAGCCCCAGGCAGGAAGAGGAGGAUGGGGGGCGGGGGGCGGUGCCGUGUCCCGCCUGCAGUAUCUGGAAAGCAGAUCUCUUGGGCCAUGGCCGGCGUGACUCAAAUGGAGACAAAAAAACCUUCCAUAUUUGGACAAAGAGUCCAGAGAGGCCCGGACCCACCGCCAGCCCAGGCCGCCUCCCCACCCCGCCUCCUGCCCUGUUUCCCUCUGGGCCCUGGGCCCCGGGCCCCGAGCCCUGUCCCACGAGUUUAAUUCUUGGUCCUCAGGCAGCCCCGUGGCCCCCUCACCUCCGUCAUCAGGCCGCCUUCCGUGUGGCCAGGCUUGGCCGUGGGUGCCAGGGAAGAGACGCCCAGGGGUGGUCCCUGAGCUCUGGCGGGAGAUGUGAAGAGGAGCUGGCGGCCUGGCAGAGCCACAGGCUGGAGGGGCAUGCGCGGUGGCCAGCCGUGCCCGUGCUGUGGGGUACCUGACUGUGGGCCCCCACCCACCCCGACGUGAGUAAAGCCUAAGGUACACACACACACACACACACACACCAGACUUCUGUGCCCACAAAGACUUUUGGGCAGAUAAUCAGAAGUGAGGCCGUAGCCUGGGAACCCCUCAUACCUUGCCUGGGAACAGCGUUUAAUGACAGUGAGGUUGAUGUAGCCAUGGGCAGCCUGUGGUGUAGACAGGCAUCAGCCCAUGGUGUAGACGUGAACCGAGCGUUUUGUCCCAGCCCUGACACCCACAGGUGCCCGCUGUGGGCCUGGGGAGCGGGCCUCAGGCGACCUCCUGGCUGGAGCCGGACCUCCCUCCCGGGGGAAAGCCCGGCCAUGGGGCAGAGGGCCGGGUGUUCGCUGCCACCAGCGGAGUAACUGCGCUGCCCGCACAGCCGUCUCUAGCUUUCCUAACUAGCCCCGGGUGAUGGACUCGGACGAGCCCAGGUAUCCUUCCCGAUUCAGUUCCACUGCCAUCUGCCAGUGCCCGCGUGCGCAGGAUGAGCCUGCGGGCUGAAGGACAGUCAGGAGCGGGUCCUGCCCUAGGAGCCCCAUCCAAGAACAGAGAACCAGAGGAGGCCAGUGUGGAGCUCGAGCCUUGAAGAGCCAGCAGGGCCCUGACAGGCAGAAAUGGGGCCAGGAAGGCAGGGGCCUGGGAUGGAAACGCUCUGGGGUGUCUGGGGUGCCACGCAAAGCUCCCUGGUUCUGGAGAAGUCAGCGUGGGGGGGGGGGUCCUAGGGAGUCUGGAAGGCCAGCACUGAAAGUCUGGAUUUGAUCCCGGGGCAGUAAUUUCCAAGCUUUUAAAAAUGGUAGAACUCUUUCUUCUAGAGGAUUCUUCACCCAGGGCUAUAAAAUAGAUCAGCUUGGAACCUGGCUGAUGAGGCGAAAGUGGGGGCAUGUCCACCCCCUCGACUGCCUCUCCCCCAGGCACUUCCAUGAGCCCCUGGCUCAGGCCGAGGAUCCCUUUCUGGGGCAGAGAGGCUCCGAUGGAGGGUUUAGAGCUGGACCAGCCUGGCCCUUCGGUUUCUCUGCAGGUUCAGAGGUUCAGCCCUUCCCCCAACCCCCGUAAGAAGUUCAGCCCAGCCAGGCUCGCUGGGCAGGGCCAAACCCUGUUGGGGACCAGGGCUCCAAAAGGAGCCAGGCUGAUGGGGGACCCCUCUUCUGGGCUCCUAGGAGCAAGUGAUGCCCCCUCCAGGGCCUCUAGAGCCAGCUGGGCCCCCCUUGAGCUGUUGGGAUGACCCCUCGGAACAGUGGGCCCUGCCUGCCAGCGGCUGCUGUCUGGGAAGUUGUAGGCCCUUUGUGGGAGGUAGGAGCUGGCAGCCAGCCACACUCCUGGAGCAGGCACACUGACCUGGCACCAUCACUGGCUGGGACAGGUGGAGGCAAAGUCUCCAGAGGCCCAGGAGUCCCACUGGUUCCCUUAGGGUGAGGUCAUUUAGGUCAGAAUCGGGACGACUUCCUCCGAGCUGAGAGUGAGUAUAAGAAGCAUGAGCAGGAGUUCCCGUCGUGGCGCAGUGGUUAACAAAUCCGACUAGGAACCAGGAGGUUGGGGGUUCAAUCCCUGCCCUUGCUCAGUGGGUUAAGGAUCAGGCAUUGCCAUGAGCUGUGGUGUAGGUUGCAGAUGUGGCUUGGAUCCUGAGCUGCUGUGGCUCUGGCGUAGGCCAGCAGCUACAGCUCCGAUUAGACCCCUAGCCUGGGAACUUCCAUAUGCUGCAGAAGCGGCCCAAGAAAUG